GGGUUAUAGACUGUGGUGCAAAAUCUACCAAUCGACCCAGAAACCCGAGAACUAGACCCAUCAAAACUCCAGCGAUGGAACAAGUAAAAGAUUCUGACAUGAAAUUAUAGUUUUGAGCACGAUAGGUAUAUCCUUUGAUCAUUUUCAUCGCGAAUAUAAUCGAGAAAUUAAAGUGAAAGUAAUACAAGAAGAUCGCGCACUAAAAAUUUUAUUGAUUCUAUUAUAAAAAUUUGAUUUUUGAAAAAGUUUACUGACCAUCUGUAACCUAUCAAGCGCCGUCACUUUGUGCUGCGCUUCGGCCUCGACUUCUUCCUCGGAUGUCAUCUUCUCGAUCUCUUCUACGCACGACCUGGAAGUUAUUCCAGCCUCCGUCGAGGCUCCCCGGAGAACCGCAACCGCGCCGGAAAUACGUUGUCCCAAAGACAUCCUUCAGGCUUCCGAAG